GGUUAAGCGACUAAGCGUACACGGUGGAUGCCCUGGCAGUCAGAGGCGAUGAAGGGCGUGCUAAUCUGCGAUAAGCGCCGGUAAGGUGAUAUGAACCGUUAUAACCGGCGAUACCCGAAUGGGGAAACCCAGUGUGAUUCGUCACACUAUCAUUAACUGAAUCCAUAGGUUAAUGAGGCGAACCGGGGGAACUGAAACAUCUAAGUACCCCGAGGAAAAGAAAUCAACCGAGAUUCCCCCAGUAGCGGCGAGCGAACGGGGAGGAGCCCAGAGCCUGAAUCAGCAUGUGUGUUAGUGGAAGCGUCUGGAAAGGCGCGCGAUACAGGGUGACAGCCCCGUACACAAAAGCGCAUGUGCUGUGAGCUCGAUGAGUAGGGCGGGACACGUGGUAUCCUGUCUGAAUAUGGGGGGACCAUCCUCCAAGGCUAAAUACUCCUGACUGACCGAUAGUGAACCAGUACCGUGAGGGAAAGGCGAAAAGAACCCCGGCGAGGGGAGUGAAAAAGAACCUGAAACCGUGUACGUACAAGCAGUGGGAGCACAGGUUUACCUGUGUGACUGCGUACCUUUUGUAUAAUGGGUCAGCGACUUAUAUUCUGUAGCAAGGUUAACCGUAUAGGGGAGCCGUAGGGAAACCGAGUCUUAACCGGGCGUUAAGUUGCAGGGUAUAGACCCGAAACCCGGUGAUCUAGCCAUGGGCAGGUUGAAGGUUGGGUAACACUAACUGGAGGACCGAACCGACUAAUGUUGAAAAAUUAGCGGAUGACCUGUGGCUGGGGGUGAAAGGCCAAUCAAACCGGGAGAUAGCUGGUUCUCCCCGAAAGCUAUUUAGGUAGCGCCUCGUGAAUUCAUCUCCGGGGGUAGAGCACUGUUUCGGCUAGGGGGCCAUCCCGGCUUACCAACCCGAUGCAAACUGCGAAUACCGGAGAAUGUUAUCACGGGAGACACACGGCGGGUGCUAACGUCCGUCGUGAAGAGGGAAACAACCCAGACCGCCAGCUAAGGUCCCAAAGUCAUGGUUAAGUGGGAAACGAUGUGGGAAGGCCCAGACAGCCAGGAUGUUGGCUUAGAAGCAGCCAUCAUUUAAAGAAAGCGUAAUAGCUCACUGGUCGAGUCGGCCUGCGCGGAAGAUGUAACGGGGCUAAACCAUGCACCGAAGCUGCGGCAGCGACGCUGAUGCGUUGUUGGGUAGGGGAGCGUUCUGUAAGCCUGCGAAGGUGACCUGUGAGGGUUGCUGGAGGUAUCAGAAGUGCGAAUGCUGACAUAAGUAACGAUAAAGCGGGUGAAAAGCCCGCUCGCCGGAAGACCAAGGGUUCCUGUCCAACGUUAAUCGGGGCAGGGUGAGUCGACCCCUAAGGCGAGGCCGAAAGGCGUAGUCGAUGGGAAACGGGUUAAUAUUCCCGUACUUGGUGUUACUGCGAAGGGGGGACGGAGAAGGCUAUGUUGGCCGGGCGACGGUUGUCCCGGUUUAAGCGUGUAGGUGUGUGUUCCAGGUAAAUCCGGUUCACUUUAACACUGAGGCGUGACGACGAGGCACUACGGUGCUGAAGCAACAAAUGCCCUGCUUCCAGGAAAAGCCUCUAAGCAUCAGGUAACACGAAAUCGUACCCCAAACCGACACAGGUGGUCAGGUAGAGAAUACCAAGGCGCUUGAGAGAACUCGGGUGAAGGAACUAGGCAAAAUGGUGCCGUAACUUCGGGAGAAGGCACGCUGACACGUAGGUGAAGUGAUUUACUCAUGGAGCUGAAGUCAGUCGAAGAUACCAGCUGGCUGCAACUGUUUAUUAAAAACACAGCACUGUGCAAACACGAAAGUGGACGUAUACGGUGUGACGCCUGCCCGGUGCCGGAAGGUUAAUUGAUGGGGUCAGCGCAAGCGAAGCUCCUGAUCGAAGCCCCGGUAAACGGCGGCCGUAACUAUAACGGUCCUAAGGUAGCGAAAUUCCUUGUCGGGUAAGUUCCGACCUGCACGAAUGGCGUAAUGAUGGCCAGGCUGUCUCCACCCGAGACUCAGUGAAAUUGAACUCGCUGUGAAGAUGCAGUGUACCCGCGGCAAGACGGAAAGACCCCGUGAACCUUUACUAUAGCUUGACACUGAACAUUGAGCCUUGAUGUGUAGGAUAGGUGGGAGGCUUUGAAGUGUGGACGCCAGUCUGCAUGGAGCCGACCUUGAAAUACCACCCUUUAAUGUUUGAUGUUCUAACGUGGACCCGUAAUCCGGGUUGCGGACAGUGUCUGGUGGGUAGUUUGACUGGGGCGGUCUCCUCCUAAAGAGUAACGGAGGAGCACGAAGGUUGGCUAAUCCUGGUCGGACAUCAGGAGGUUAGUGCAAUGGCAUAAGCCAGCUUGACUGCGAGCGUGACGGCGCGAGCAGGUGCGAAAGCAGGUCAUAGUGAUCCGGUGGUUCUGAAUGGAAGGGCCAUCGCUCAACGGAUAAAAGGUACUCCGGGGAUAACAGGCUGAUACCGCCCAAGAGUUCAUAUCGACGGCGGUGUUUGGCACCUCGAUGUCGGCUCAUCACAUCCUGGGGCUGAAGUAGGUCCCAAGGGUAUGGCUGUUCGCCAUUUAAAGUGGUACGCGAGCUGGGUUUAGAACGUCGUGAGACAGUUCGGUCCCUAUCUGCCGUGGGCGCUGGAGAACUGAGGGGGGCUGCUCCUAGUACGAGAGGACCGGAGUGGACGCAUCACUGGUGUUCGGGUUGUCAUGCCAAUGGCACUGCCCGGUAGCUAAAUGCGGAAGAGAUAAGUGCUGAAAGCAUCUAAGCACGAAACUUGCCCCGAGAUGAGUUCUCCCUGAGACUUAGAGUCUCCUGAAGGAACGUUGAAGACGACGACGUUGAUAGGCCGGGUGUGUAAGCGCAGCGAUGCGUUGAGCUAACCGGUACUAAUGAACCGUGAGGCUUAACCUU
rnacentral:rRNA from 1 species